AUGGGAAAAUUUAUGCAUUCAUGGUCAUAUCAGUACUUUUGGCAGAAAGAUGAACAGUACAACUUUUUGUCACCGUUAGUGCUUCAUGCUGUGAGUGAAAUUAUAUUGUUGAUUUGCUACAAAAAAUGUCAUUCCAAUAAAUUUGACAGAGAGGGCGGGAAUUUUCCUAUGCAAACUGUACUUAAAGUCCCGUUUUAUUGCUACUUGGUAAUAUAUCCAAUACGUACCCAAUUUGUCCAACCAUGCUGUCGUGUCACAGUGAAAUACUACUACAGCUUGAUGUGCUCAAAGCCUCAAACUAGAAAUAUAUCAAAAAUAAAAAACUAUGUGAGUGAAAAUGCACUCACUCUGAUAGGAGCCAUUUUGAUCAAUAUAUUUAUCAUAUAUGUUAUUAGUGCAAUUGCAAUUAUAACAAAGCUUCCUAAUGUCAAAGGUUUGUCGGAGAGAUAA
rnacentral:rRNA from 1 species